rnacentral:rRNA from 1 species
GACGAACGCUGGCGGCGUGCCUAAUACAUGCAAGUCGAACGAGUGGCGGACGGGUGAGUAAUGUCUGGGAGACUGCCCGAUGGAGGGGGGUAACUACUGGGAUAGGUAGCUAAUACCGCAUACCAUCGGAUGUGCCCAGAUGGGGUUAGCUGGGGGGUGGGGUAACGGCUCACCUAGGCGACGAUCCCUAGCUGGUCUGAGAGGAUGACCAGCCACACUGGAACUGAGACACGGUCCAGACUCCUACGGGAGGCAGCAGUGGGGAAUAUUGCACAAUGGGCGCAAGCCUGAUGCAGCCAUGCCGCGUGUAUGAAGAAGGCCUUCGGGUUGUAAAGUACUUUCAGCGAGGAGGCGUUACUCGCAGAAGAAGCACCGGCUAACUCCGUGCCAGCAGCCGCGGUAAUAC